rnacentral:lncRNA from 1 species
CAAUCUUGCUCUGUGGCCUUUACUGACAAGUUGGCUUUUACUACAUAUGUGGCACUGACACUUCUUUAAUUAAUGCACCAGUCAAUGUAAACCCCCCAACGAGGGAGGGGCAGGGAUUUUGACUUGGAGGGGUAGUAAAAGAGCGAAAUUGUCCCCACCCCCAGGGACAUCAAUGUCCCCCAGGGUCUUAGCUAGAGGGCCAUGUUAGCCAUGUUAUCACGGCCAAAAAUGGAAAAACACGGCUAGAUAAAAUGAACGCGGCUUCAUUAUUUAUAUAAGGCCAUGUAUGUUCAUAAAAUAAGAUGUGCUACUUGCAACAGACAGAAUUUAUUUCUAUUUACGUUAUAAGAAAGUUUGUAAAAUCUGUUGUUGUUGAAAUUGGCAAAAGUGAUCUGUGAUGUUUUAAUGUUUUGAUGGAUAAUGGGAACUGUAUGGUGUUAAAAUGGUUUUAAAUACCUCCAAGAGUUGCUGAAAUAACUUAAUAUUUUAAUGUCAGUGAGCAAAAUGAGUAUAUGCUUGCCUUGUAUUUGGUUGCAAAGCAUAGAACAACCAUAGGCAUUGUCCGUUGUUGUAGAACCGUAAAAUUGGCUAUGCAAGGUAAUUGACAUGUGCACACCCUGGUAAUUUAGAAACACACCCAAGAUCUAAAAUCCUAGCUAAGACCCUGAUGUCCCCUGCAUGUCUCUCAACCCCAGGAAAAUAGUUUUGUAUAAUCAUAGAUCAGCAAUAGAAAAUCAAAUUCAUUUAUGUUGUUGUAUUUAAACUUUUCUUGUCAAGAAAACUAAAACAGCAACACAGGAUAUAUAUGUUAACCACCGUCCAAGUCUCCCAUCAUCGGGGACAAAUUUAUAAUCAAAACUGACCACUUUCCCCGCAAAACCUCCCGCCCCUCCCCGGUUGGGGGCAGGGAUUUACAUUGACUGGUGCAUAACUAGAUGAUUGCAUGAAGCAUUGCAUGGAAGUUGAUUUAUAAUUAGUUUAUGAAUAAACUCACACUUUCAUUAUAAUGGUUGAUCGAAUAUAUCAAAUGCAUUUGAUUGGUUGAUGGUCCCUUAAUGGUAAUCAAAUCUGAACCUAUAUAAUGUCAAUAUACUGGAAAAGUAUCAAAUUAAAUUUUAAUUGUCAAUGUUGUGGGAAGUAAAUAAAUCAAACAAUUCUGUUUGUUUCAACUAACUAGUUCACUAUCACUUUGGUUUUCAAAUCAAAGAAUCUUUAGCCUGG